GGAAAGCGCCGUCUCAGUGUGGACGGGAGGCCAAAACGGAGAGAAAACGAUGCCUCUUCAAACGAAAACGCAUUAUUGUGGACGUAGCCUUAACGUCUGAAUGUUAAUUUCAUUGUAACAUUAUCGUUUGUGAAUGUCAGAAGCAGCUAAUACUAACCUACUAACAUUUGUAAUUAGGCAGUUGCUGUUUUUGCAGCUACCUUGCUAUAAGUAGUUAAACUUGAAUGUAAUCCCUAUGGUGACUGAAACCUAGCAGGUAAUGCUGACUUCUGUGUCUGAAAUUUAAAUAACAUUAGGAGCAAUUUGUAAUUGGCUAACUUGCUCAAUGGCACGUCAACAAUGCCAGGAUUCCUUAUAAGCAGUCAAACUUAAUACUUUUAUUCUAGGUUUGGUAUUUAAAACAUGUAAUAACCGAAACAACUUACUGAUGGACUAUAGUUGUGUAACACAGGUGAGGGUUCCUGGAUAACGCUGAAUUUAUGGCUGAUGUGUUGGUUCAGGCAUGAUUUCAAUAUUCAACCAUCUUGCUGUGGAUAGAGGACUGUGUGGGUUUUUGUCAGCACACUUUUGUAAGCUGACUUUAUUUUCAAGCAGACUCAGCACCUGUAAACAGGAAUAUGUCUUUAAUUCUUACAUAUAUGUUCUUCGGGUGGGAGUAUGUCAGUAUUGUUUCUUCUCACUCCUUUUCAAGCACCUGUUGUACUAGAAGGCAAUAUUUUCCUUCCUGUACAGAUGCUCUGUUUGGUACAUAUGUAUACACAUAUAUACGCAUAUGCUCAAAAUAAAUGAUUGAUCAAUCAGUCAGUAAGUCUGAGCACAUUUCCCUGUUCCACGUGUUUUACAGCACAUUUAAUGAAACAUAUUAGGAGACAGUUACAUUGUGUAGCUUAGAAAAAUAGUUAAUUUCAGCUCAUAGUUUAUUGUCAUGUACUAGUAACUGAGUAAAACUACCAUUUGAAUAAGCUACACUGAAUUAGAUUCAGCUAAAUUAACGAGUACUGACCGCCUAACCCUGACCUAACCGAACCUUAGCAUUUAAAAAUACAUGAUUGAAUGAGUAAAGUGAAAGUCUGAAAUGUAUGAGCAGAAAGGUUGUGCUGCUGUUGCUGAUCCAUUUCUGUCUCUGCGUCUGCGGCUCAGAUAGGAGCCAGGAACGACCCUGAAGAACUGCUCAGAGCAACAGCGCUCUCUAAAGGCGCUCAGGAGUACUGCAACAAACCCACAUGCCAAUAAAAAUGAAACUUCCUUUCAUUCAUUGAUGAACUUUAUCUGCAUUCACUGAUGUAAAGUAAAAGUAAAACACGACUUUACAAAUACACUGUCUGAUUUUUACUUUUGUUUCUGUGACAUUAAUGUAUGAUCCAGUCGUUACAGAGCACUGUGUGACGGAGUUACUGUCAUAUUAGUUUACUUUUCUUUGUUUUUCAUUAUUAUUUCAUCACUCCAACCUGAACAAAGAGCAUUAAUAAUUUUAAAUCAUGAAUGACUGAUUCAUGGCAGCAUAGUGCACGGUGAUUAGCAAGAAGGUCGUGAGUUUGAUUCCACCACCUGGCCGGGUCUUUCUGUGUGGAGUUUUUUAAUGUUCUCUCCGGGUUCUUCCUCCCACAGUCCACAGACAUGCAGUUAGUGGGGUUAGGAUUAGUGGGUGAAUCUAAAUGGCCCACAGGUGUGAAUGGUUGCCUGUCUCUGUGUGUUAGCCCCGUGACCUGCCUCUCACCCUAUGGCAGCUGGGAUAGGCGAACCCUAACCCCACGACCCUGACAAGGAUACGCAGCAUAGAAUAGAUGGAUGAAUCACUGGUCUAAGAAUGAGCGCUUCCACAACUGUUCAAUGGCUUAAAGAGAAAAUAAUCAUAUAUUCAGCUACACAACUUAAACAUAUGAACAUCAGAAACCUCUAAAUACAUUUGUUCACAAAAGAUGGAUGGAUACGAUGAAGCUUUGGUUAACGUGACAAGAUUUCAGUUUCAUUUAGUGGCCCUGAAACUGCUCAGCUUGCUGUCAGUGGUUAGAGAUCAUCUCAGGAUGGAUCAGUUUUUGAUGAUUUGCAGGCUGAAGUUUCCUGCAGCUCACCUGGAUGAACAGCUGGACGCACCGGAAGAGACACAAAACUGUUUACACUAAAUAUGAUCUCUGCUAUGCAAACAUUUCAUUCUCUCUUUCGUUUGUAUGCAUUUUAAAGCUCGUGAACUCAGAACUCACAAUUCUGCAUUUUUUCUUGUGUUUAAAAUGGCCUCGACACCACCUCACCCUGCGGUAUGGAUUGAGCUUUCUCUUAGAUCGGAGCUCUAGGCUAAGCAACAACACUUUGUGCCAAAAGAAAAAGUCAGCUGACUACUUUUUUUGUUUUGCUUUCUGGGAUUUUUGGAAUGGGGAUAUUCCAAGAUGAUGCUGAGGCUCAAACUGUGAAAGAGUGAACACAAGAGAGCACUUUCCCACAUGGACGCCGUGCAGUCGAGAUCUUUACCAGACUGAGAAUCUUUGGGAUAUCCUGGAAAGGAUUUUGGUGAGUGUCGCAUCAUCUUUAUAAUAUAACAACAACAAAAACCAAAGAAGCACAACUCCAGAUAGAAAUCAGUGUCAAACUGAAAACUAACCAAUCGCUCUAAUUAGCCCUUUAAAGCCCAGAGUAUCGUAUUUGACACGUGUGUUUUUGAGGCUUCUACAUCAUCAGUGGGACUUUUUUUACCCUCAAAAAAUGAUAUAAAUUACAUGACGCAUUUUUAAUGACUAAAUUGCAAAAAUAUGGCUAAUGUAGCAAAUGUGGUACAAAUGAAAAAUCAUAUAUAUGCAGAUUAAAAUUUGAUGUAUUGUUAUAUAUUUUGUCUAAAGGCUCAACAAACACUGCAUUAUGAAAAAAAUUAAAUGUUUCUGGCAGUUAUUUCAUGGUUCAGGUUUUAAAGGAUUAAGCAUAAUACAUGAAUGAAGAUUAAGGUUAUGCAGUAUUUGUGAUCCUGGACAGAACGUUUUCUAACAGAAAGAUUCGUUGUUGGAAA